rnacentral:rRNA from 1 species
GACGAACGCUGGCGGCGUGCUUAACACAUGCAAGUCGAACGGACAGGCCCCUUUGGGGGUACUCGAGUGGCGAACGGGUGAGUAACACGAGCGUAACCUGCACUUGACUUCGGGAUAACUUCAGGAAACUGGGGCUAAUACCGGAUAGGAAUCCUUGCUGCAUGGUGGGGGUUGGAAAGCUUCGGCGGUUUUGGAUGGACUCGCGGCGUAUCAGCUUGUUGGUGUGGUAGUGGCUUACCAAGGCUUUGACGGGUAGCCGGCCUGUGAGGGCGACCGGCCACACUGGGACUGAGAGACGGCCCAGACAGCGACGGGAGGGAGCAGGGGGGAAGAUUGCACGAGGGGCGGAGGCCUGAUGCAGCGACUCCGCGGGCGGGAUGACGGCCUUCGUGUGGUAGACCGCAUGCAUAAGGAGCGAUGCUUGUGGUGACGGUACCUGCAGAAGAAGCAACGGCUAACUACGUG